UACGUAGGGUGCAAGCGUUGUCCGGAAUUAUUGGGCGUAAAGAGCUCGUAGGCGGUUUGUUGCGUCGGCUGUGAAAUCCCGAGGCUCAACCUCGGGUCUGCAGUCGAUACGAGCAAACUAGAGUGUUGCAGGGGAGACUGGAAUUCCUGGUGUAGCGGUGGAAUGCGUAGAGAUCCGGAAGAACACCGGUGGCGAAGGCGGCCCGCUGGGCAACUGCUGACACUGAGGCGCGACAGCGUGGGGAGCAAACAGG
rnacentral:rRNA from 1 species